UUUCUGUCUUCUAGGGCUACUUCCUUCUUCGGUUUCUUGCCGAAAGACUUGGAGAUGAAACCUAUUUUUCAUUUUUAAGAAAAUUUGUGCACGCAUUUCAUGGACAGCUGAUUCUUUCCCAGGAUUUCCUUCAAAUGCUACUGGAGAACAUCCCAGAAGAAAAAAGGCUUGAGUUGUCUGUUGAAAACAUCUACCAAGACUGGCUUGAGAGUUCCGGAAUACCAA
rnacentral:lncRNA from 1 species